GAACCUGCACACAGGUGCUGCAUGGCUGUCGUCAGCUCGUGUCGUGAGAUGUUGGGUUAAGUCCCGCAACGAGCGCAACCCUUGCCAUUAGUUGCUACGAAAGGGCACUCUAAUGGGACUGCCGGUGACAAACCCGGAGGAAGGGUGGGGAUGACGUCAAGUCCUCAUGGCCCUUAUAGGUGGGGCUACACACGUCAUACAAUGGCCGGUACAGAGGGUAGCCAACCCGCGGAGGGGGAGCCAAUCCCACAAAGCCGGUCGUAGUCCGGAUCGCAGUCUGCAACUCGACUGCGUGAAGUCGGAAUCGCUAGUAAUCGCGGAUCAGCAUGUCGCGGUGAAUACGUUCCCGGGCUU
rnacentral:rRNA from 1 species